UACAGAGGUCCCAAGCGUUGUUCGGAUUCAUUGGGCGUAAAGGGUGCGUAGGCGGCGCGGUAAGUCGGGUGUGAAAUUUCGGAGCUUAACUCCGAAACUGCAUUCGAUACUGCGGUGCUUGAGGACUGGAGAGGAGACUGGAAUUUACGGUGUAGCAGUGAAAUGCGUAGAGAUCGUAAGGAAGACCAGUGGCGAAGGCGGGUCUCUGGACAGUUCCUGACACUGAGGCACGAAGGCCAGGGGAGCAAACGGG
rnacentral:rRNA from 1 species